GGGAGCGGCGCUCUGCCACGGGAGAGCGGAGCCGCACCGCCUCGAGCCGGCUCCCAACGGCCGCUCCCGCUCAGCCAAUCGGAGCCGGCGGCGCUGCCGCUGACCAAUGAGAGCCCGGGGGCGGGGCGCAGCGGCCGUUGGGGGCGGGGCCUCGAGGGGCGCCCUGUUGGUAGAGGGGAUGGGAGAUGGGAGAUGGGAUCGGGAUUGGGAUGCGGGAUUGGGAUUGACGGGGGGGGAUAUGGGCUUGGGAUGUGGGAUAUGGGAUUGGGAUUGAGAAACAGACAAUUUUGAAUAACUCGGUGAAGUGAAAAACAGGCUUCACUGACUGAACCGAAGCAAAUAUUCCUGUGCUGGCAUUACGUGCAACAUUCUUUGCAAUCCCAAUAACUCCAAGGAAAGACAGAAGUGGACUUUGCUGCCCCGAGCUGAGGACUGCGGCCCCGUGAGAACAGUGCCCAUCUUUCCAUGACAAACAGCGGUGUCCCAGUUAACGAGGAGGGACGCGCUAAGAGGGAACCGUGGGGCUGCAUCAGGAUCCUCCCCGAGGAUCGGCGCUUGUUCCAGCACCGGUCCAUCUCUUUAUUGACCACGGUGGCAAAAGCAGGCAGACGCCGACGAAAGGUGCCGACGGCGUUCGUGA
rnacentral:lncRNA from 1 species